UGCGGGACGGUGCCCACGCAGGGCAGAGACGAGCCCGCAGGCCACGCACACUCACAGCCUGGUCCCGCUCAUGGCCCAGGGGCCACUGGCAGCAUGGACACGCUCGGGGCGUGGACGCUGCCACAGCCCGGGCACACCCGCGGGCUGGACUCGCACACAGAGUGGACUCAGUGAUCGCCCAGGCCCGCUGAGAGCCCACACACACCGCACACAGCCCGUCCUCACCGUGCCCACUCAUUAGCCAGGCCCACUCGCGGCCCACGGUGGCUCACAGCUGGGAGCCACGGGCUGGUGUGGGUCACACACACAGCGUGGGCCCACUCACGGCCCUGGCCCACUCACAUCCUGCUCACAGCCUGAGCCCACCCACAGUUCAAACCCCUCACAGCCCCGGCCCUCUCACAGCCAGAUCCCACCCAAAACCCUGAUCCACCCAAAACCCGGCCCUGUGCCAUCCUGGCCCGUGUGCCAUCCCCCUGUGGACGCCCUGCCUGGGGUCUCUGACACUGUGGCAGUGCUGGGCCGGGUUGUGGUGACACAUCUUGGGGUGAAGCCCUGCCCCCUGCUUUCCCCUGCCCCCUUUUUCCCACCAUGGCCAGGGUCCUGAUCCACAGGGGAGAGCGUUCCCACUGGAGAUCAGCGCUGGAGAAUGGCUUCCGAGAGCAGAAGAAAUCUCCCCCUCUGAUAAACAGAACCAGAAACACGCCCGGAUCCUCUCAGCUUCCUCUGCAAAAAUCAGAUGCUGUCUCCUCGCUGGCACCCUCGGCCUCACACCCCGCAGCGCACGUGGCUCCAGAGUGAGAACAGCCUUUGUGCCCAGCCUUUGUUUACUGCCCUGGCCAUCCCGAGGAGAGAUCCCACAGACAAGGGCAGUUUAUUCCUCUUCCCUGAGAAAGGCUCAUUCAUCCCCCCAAGGGGGCUCGCUGUCAUCUCUGGAGAGCUCCACAGCGGGGCUCGGGGUUGUUUUUGCCCUAGUGCCAGUUUUGGGAGAGGGUUUGAGUAAAAAAGUGCAGAACGCAAGAGAAUAUUAAAGGAGUUUUGUUCCCAAGUUCA